rnacentral:tRNA from 1 species
GGGGAUUUAGCUCAGUGGUAGAGCGCUUGCCUAGCAAGCACAAGGCCCUGGGUUCCGUCCUCAGCCCCG